GGACAUUCUUAAUUUUUGAGAUGUUGGGGGUAUUUUCUGAAAACCCUCAAGACCAAGGAUCAUCACUUGAUCUUCAUUGAAGUUGACUUGGUUUAGAGAUCGUUAUGAUAUGACUAUUGAGAGGAAUGCCCUCACAUACAUAUUGUAUUUGUUUGGUUGCAUCUUGUUCUCAGAUAAGAGUGGCGACUCCGUACACUUAAUCUAACUCCCUUCGGUAUAAGACUUAGGAUAGGUUAUAGAGUACAACUAGGAGAGCACGAGCCUUACAUACUAUGAGACUUAGAACGAGCUGUAGAGUUCAACUGGGGCAGACAUAGGUAAAAUGCUAUUAGAGAUAGUACUCUUUAAUACAAACCACUAUCUCAAGUAGUCUUGUUUGAGUGUGGAAACAAAAAUUUGUCAGUCGUUCGUAGACAGGGCAUGGGAAUUAUGUUUCCAUGGACAUAAGGUGGGAAAUACUUUCAUAAUUAAUACUCCUUAUUUUAGGAAAAAAUUCUUAUAAACCACCCAUAAUUGAACCGAAAAAUCUGAUGUCAUAGCACAGAUCAAAGGCUCUAGAUUUCUUCGCGCCAUUCCCAGGGUUUAAAGUAAUGGCGAUUUGCUCCAAUGGCGUCCAAAGUUGGUAAUUUUUCGUCGUUAAGUGGAGAGUGACAUUUCCGAAGUGUUAGAUAAUUGAAGUGUUCCGCUCAAUAUGGAAAAAGACGUUUGGAAAAUUCUGUGAUAGUAGAACAAAUUCUUUGGAAUUAUGCGAGGAAACUACUAGUAAAUUUGGUAGGGAUUUAUGAAUAAGAAAUUAUUUAUAAGGGUAAAAGAAUCGGCCUAGAAACGUAAUUCCACAUUUCUCAUCGUCAUUUGUCGUUGCUAAUUAUAUUUGUGCGCGGUUGGGACCGCAAUAUUAUAAUCAUUGUUAUCUUUUCUUAUCAGACAUGACUUUGGUCGAUCCUUUCACUUUGUUAAUUUGAUGGAGAUAGUAUGUAAAGAAUAUAGUAUUAUCAUAUAAUCUUUUUUUUUUUUUUUUUUCAUUUUUGAUUUUUGUUGUGGAAAAGAUUAGUUUGUGUCUUUAGAGAUUUUGCUUUGAGGCUCAUCUUUUUGCUUACUUUUUAAGCUCAAAUGAGAAAUCCAAGCUUUAGAUGUGCUGUUCCUAUUCAGAUUCCUGUGCUAAUAUUCUUACAACAGUUGACUAACCAAAGUAGAAUCUUUAUUUUAAUUAUGUCUAUGUUCUCGGGGCGUUGUUUGAUAAGGCUUCGAGUUUUCUUGGGUUUUAUUUCGCUUUGUCUUUUUGGAUUCACUAAUGGAGCCAAUAGGAGUAGAUCAAUGCCAAGGCACUAUGCUAGUUAAGAAUAAAUAUACGCCUGUGGACCUACUUAAAGGAAGAUCACUUUGAUUUCACUUUUUUAUUUUCAUUCUAGUUUGUAUUAGGUGGGGAAAGAAUAAAGUAAUUAUGGAAAAAUUAAUCUAGAGGGCCAGAGGCUACAUGCUCUGCAAUAACAUAAUAUACUAUAUCUAUAAAUAACAUUGUUAAGAAGGAAGUAUUGUGCUUUUAGACAAAAUCUGCUCCAUAUUUCACUAGAGGACAUAGGCUUAUGGACAUACUGUCAGAGGACUUUGAUGGUCGUUGUAGUCUAUGGGAUGCUUCAAGUUGUAUAUCACUUUGUGCUACCAUUCAAGCAUUCCACUUCAAGAAAUAUUUUAAUUAUAUUAGCAUCUUUAUUACAAUAAUCAAAUUGUUAAAACAAGAGGGUUAUUGUUAUUUUUAAAAAAUAAUUAAGACUUCCAAUAGGAUUCUUUUAGUUUCUCUUAUACUCAUUCUAGACACCAUUACAUAGCAUGGAAACUUUAGAGAGUAUGAUCUACUAUUUUUUCUGCUUAGAAACUACCAUGAUUUUUUGUGUGUACCUAGAUCUUUGAAGAAGAAUACCUAACUGCUUUUUGUCACAUCAUUUCAUAAAUGCUUACUCUCCUCUGGACUUGGUUGUAUGAACUUUAGGUAAUUAGAUUUGGGGGAGGUUAAACUAAGUUUGUUAUCUUCCUUGAUUUGCUAACUUUUUAAACAACAACAAUAACAAUAAUGCCAGAACCUUAAUCCCAAAAGAUUGGAGUCCGCUAUAUGAACCAAUAUAUCAAUUUUAAUGGUCGUCCACAUGGAUUCUUCUUCUCCAUUCUUUUUGAUUUUCUUCCAUCUUAGUUUGUAAGUCUAGAUUCUUCAUAUCCUUUUCACUUCUACCUUCCAAGUCAUCUUCGGUCUUCCAAGUCAUCUUCAGUUUCCUAGCCCUCAUUUUAAGUCUUCCGUGCUCCAACUUUCUAUCUUCCUUACCACUUCACUAAUACCCCAUCUUUACAUUUGCCCAAACUAUCUCAAACGAUUAUCUUUCAUCUUUCCUCAAUAUUUGCAACUUCUAAACCCUUUCUUAUAUCUUUGUUUCGAAUUUUAUCCCUCAAAGUAUACCCUCUCAUUAAUCGAAGCAUUUACAUUUUCGCAACUCCUAUUAUCCUAUUAUGAUCCUUUCUAAAAGCCCACAAUGUCGAUUCAUAUAAUAGCAUUGGUCUAAUGUCGUUCGAUGUACUUGUCAUUUAGCUUUAAGGGUAUACCUCACUCACCGCUCUUUUUUUGUUUUUUUGCCAUCCACACUUAAUUCUAUGUAUCACAUCUUGUUGGAUGUAUUCACUAUUUUGAAUUAUGAACUCAAGGUAUUUGAAUCAUUCACUUGAAGGAUUUCUUUCUCUUUAAAGUUUAAAGUGCCUCGCGGUAUCUCGUGUGCUAAAGCUAUACUCCAUGUACUCUGCCUUAUUCCAACUUAAUUUGAAACAUCGUGACUCCAACUCUUGUCUUCGUUGUUCUAACUUAGCAUUUACCCUUUCCCUUGUCUCAUUCACCAAAACAAUGUCAUUUGCAAACAACAUGCACCAAUGCACGUCUCCUUGUAUUGAUUGAGUUAUCUCAUCUAGGACUGUUGCAAAAAGAAAGGGCUUAGGGAUGGACCUUGAUAAAGCUUCUCAAACACUCUUUUCCAUAAUUUCAUAUUAUGAUUGAUGAGUUUUAUUCCUCAACAGUUGGAGCCUUCUUUGACAUCUCUUUUGUUCUUGUAAAUGGGCACUAGAGUACUUCUUCUACAAUCAUCGGGCAUCUUGUUUGUCCUCUUAAUCUUGUUGAAAAGAUCAAUUAAUCAAGUUACUCUGAUCGUCCCUAGGCAUCUCCAUACCUGAAUAAGUAUACCAUCUGAUCCAACCGCCUUCUCUAGCUUCAUUCUUCAAAGCGCCCUCUUACACUAACUUUUAUAUUCGUUGCAUUAAUUUUCUAUUUUCAUCAAAAGGAGUGAUUGUUAUAUCCCCUAUAACUUUUCCUUGUUCUCCAUAAAAUGCAUUAAAAUGCUCCUUUCAUUGAUCUUUGAUGUUCUUGUCCUAAACUAGAUUGUUCUUUUUCUACCCUUAAAACAUUUUACAACUUCUAUGUCAUUUGUUUUUGCUUGUCUCCUCUUUGCCAUCCGGUAAUUAACUUUUUCUCCUUUAGAAUCUACUUUGCCUAACACCUCUUAAAUUCCUUUAAUUUCGCCUCACGCCACUUUGUCUUGGUUUUAAAUUCCUUAAAUUUGGCUAAGUUUUCCUCAUCCUCAAAUUUUCUUAAUGCAAGAUAACACCUUUUCUUUUCCUUUAUAACUGUCUUCACGUCAUUAUAAAACCAUGUUGUAUCCUUCUUUUUAACGAAACUACCCCUGAUUCUCCUAAAACCUUAGCUAUUUGAAUGAUGCAACUUUUCAUCUUUGUCCAAGUAUUUGUAUCCAAAGUCAUAUCCCAAUCAACUUUUUAACAACUUUGUUGGUGAAAACUUUUGAAUUCGAAAGAUGGGAUGUUAUUGAAAUGUUGAGCUUUUAGAAAGGAUCGUAGUACAAGAUGGGAGUAGUGGAAUUUCGAAUUCUUCGAUGGAUGAGCGAGCGUACCUUAAUGGAUAGAUUCAAAACAAAGAUAUAAGAAAGGGUUUAAGAGUUGCAAAUAAUGAAGAAAAGUUGAAAGAGUAUUGUCUAAAAUUGCUUGAGCAUUAACAAAGAUAUAUUAGCAAAUUGGUAAAGAAAAUUAUAGCUGGAGCUCGAGAGACUUAAAAAGAGGGCGAGAAAGACCAAAGAUAACUUGGAGGACAAGAGUGGAAAAGGAUACAAAGAACCUAGACUUACAAAUUGAGAUGAUAGAAAAUUAGAAGAAUGGAGAAGAAGAAUCCAUGUGGAUGACCAUUAGAAUUGAUAUAUUUGUUCAUGUAGCUGAUCCCAAUCUUUUGGGAUUAAGGCUCUGGCAUUGUUAUUGGUUUUGUCUCGGUAAAAACUUUAGCAUUAUCCUCUUUUGAUCUCCAUCAUUUAAUCAUAUGUUCUUUGGCUUUCUUUACUUUUGGUAUUGCUUGAAUUCGAACAUCUUGGAUAACGAGUUCAUGUUGGGUGGAUACCCACUCUCUUGGGAUAACCUUAUUGUCAAGCUAGCUAUCUCUUUCUAUCAUCCUUAUCACAAAGUAGUCAAUUUGAGUUGCAUUUUCCUCUAGUUCAAAAAGUCACCAUAUGACUAUCUUUCUUCUUAAACCAUAUUUUGGCAACCAACCAAUUGUAUGAGAUUAAGAGUGCAAAAUCCAAAAUGGACUCUCCUGUUUUCCUGGUUCCAUAGCCAAAACUUUUAUAGACACCUUCUUAGCCACCGCGGCACACCCCUAUGUGAAAAAAUUCCUUCUAAUUAAUUCCUCUAUCCCCACUUGCGGUGCAUAGUCACUUAUGGCGUUCAAAAUCUCUUUAACCGUCUUUUAUUAAUAGCUACAUUUCACCCUUUUAUGUGAGAGCUUUUUGAGUGAAGUGUAGCUAUUAAUAAUCCUAUAUUUCUUUUUGCAUACCUCUACUACAUCCUUAUUUUUUCGUUCAUCCGUGAUAACUCCAACUCCAAUUCGAUUUCUAUCUUGUCUUGAGCACCACAAUUUAUAUUUGUGUCUUUCACCUACUAUUGUUUUGGGUCUAUCUCUAACCCUUUUCUCUUGUAGACAUAAAAUGUUAGUUUUUCUCAUUUCCAUGAUAUCCACCAACUCUGAAAACCUACCAGUCAAGCUACCAAUGUUCUAAGAUCCCAAUCUUUACCUAAGACCUUUGGUUUUCUCUAACCAUGUAUGCUUAAAACCUAUGUGCUCUUACUCAUUUGACAUCACACUUGGGUAUUGUGGCACGUUGUUUUUGGACAACGACCUAACAACCUUUGCAUACUUUUUAUUACACCUCGACCUAUGAAAUGUAGUGCUUUGCUGAGUAGGGAUGCCCCCACGAGAAUUGAUUUUUGGUUUAUGAUCAUGGGAUGUGACUAAAGUUACUUACGUGGUUGUCACUAACCUACCGUUCACCUUCCUCCUUUAUCAUGGCUUGCGCCCGACAACAAGCGAAAAAUACUCACAUGCAGAGUUAUAUGCUAAUGUUUUUUAAAAAAAUUGUUUUUCAUAUCCUUCCUUUUUAGUUUUUCUAGUUUGGAGGCAUGAUUCUCUUUUGGUUGCAUGAUCACAUCAAACUCUUAACUAAUUUAUCAGCUCAUUUUAUAAAAAGAUUAAUUCAACUGAAAGUAUUAUGCUAGAGUAGAUUACCUCUAUUUUAGGAUACCUUGUUGGCUGAUACCAGGAAAGUGAUGGUAUCUGAAAAUGCAAUUUUUCCUUCAAUUGAGGAGGUUACGUGAGUUGUCAUUUUGCAAAUAAUGUGACUUGUUCAUCUCUAAAAACAGAUCUUUUUUAUGCAUGGCCUCAAGGAAAUGGUACCUCAAAUUCUACUUAAAUGAUGUAUAAAGUAGCUAUUAAAACGAUUCAGCUAGUUUAUGUUAUUUUAUUGAGUUAUAAUUUCCUUAUUCUGAAAUUUCUUUUACCUGUCUGAAAUUGUCUUGUAAUUAUCUCUUGACCCUUGAGAGUGGUCGUACAAUUGUGUUUUAAUUAUAAGUCCCAUUGAAACUCUGAAAGCAUUGCUAACACUGAAAUUGCUCAUCAAAACUACUAUUUAAACUUUUAAGUAGGGGUAGGAAAUUUGUUGAAUGAGCUGAUUUGUAAAAGCUCUUUUGAUGAUACCAGUGGCCUCUUCAUUUAUUCUCAUAAAACAGAAAUAAUAUUGGUUUGGUUUACAAGAGAAACACAGCCCAUGAGAAUAUAGUCUUUUAAUGAUCAUGAACUCAUGUAGCUGACUAUCUAAAAUAAGACAGCAUGAAGAAAUAUUUCAAUGUUUGUUGCAAUUUGGUUAUGAAGUCUUAGAUCUCAAAACUAUUUUAAGGGCUGUUUAUCCGCUAUGAUAUAUAUCUAUGCAAGUCAAUUCAAUAUCCUUAGUAAAGAAAAUGGCUAAUCAUUGAUUGACUAUCCAAUAAUCUCUCGAAACAUUGAUUACUCGUUUCACACCCUACAUUGAUUACUCGUUUCACACCCUUUCAUCUUGGCUUGAUUAGUUUUUCUAGUGAAAUGGAGUCAAAUUGAGAAAGGGAAAUGAGUGAAAAAGAAGUAAAGAAAGGGUCUAGUGGAAGUCAUGUAACUUUCUAUGUUCUAAGAUUAAAUGGGUGAAGGAUAUUAGGCAUCUAUGUUCUUUGAUAACUUCUAUUCAAACACAGAUAUGAUUCAUCUCCUCGAUUAUUUCCAUUUUCCUAAACCCCAACGUAAAUAAAUAUAAAAAGGGCAUCCAUAUGUUUGUAUCAUACUAAACCAAAAAAAAAAGUAGAAACAAGAUAGUAGCUAGGGAAUGUGAGUAGUAGAAUGCAUAAAUAAAUUUUUUUAUUUAACUUAACGUAAACUAUAUGUUUAUGAUACAUUACAUUGAGGAAGUUUCAACUUAUUAAAACUUAUACUGCAAGUGACCAUGAACUAGAAAGAAAAAUAAGCACUACCUAGUUGCUAGGUCUAUUAUCAUGCAUUAAUGUUACAAUGCUCAAUGGACAAUGGGUGGAGAAGAAAACUAAAUUUUUCUAUUGUAGAGCCCUUACUAUACAGUCAGAGUUUUCCUGGCAAGAUAAGAGAUUUAACAUAGAUAACACUAUUAAUGCUAAAUUAACCAGUUAGAGACAUAUUCUCAUGGUGGUAACACGGGACAAACUGAUCAUUACUAGAGAAAAACAUCUUAAUUUCAUCUCCUUCCAUUCUCCAUAAUGCGUCUGGACAGUAUUCCCACAAUGGAGAAGCCAGUGGAGGACAAGUAAAAUUACUGCCGUCACGGUAGACAUCACAAACUGGUUUAAUUGGUUCUUCUGAAGUGAUAUCUUUCCAUAUGUCAUCCAUAGAAUAAACUUCUUCCCCCUUACCCUGACUUUUUUGAUACUUAUUCCCCUGCAGAGUUGACAUAUCUGUGGCUAUUGUGCUGUCAAAGCUUUCUGUUGUCUCAUUAGCAGCUUUUGAAUUUACUGCUUGGUUGUUUGAUGAAGAGGAGGAAUCUGAAGUUGAUGAUGAUGACGAUGAAGAUGGAUAUGUUUCUCGCUUCUUUUCUUGUGCUUUCUUCCUCAUAUGUGUUCUCCAAUAGUUCUUUAUCUCAUUAUCAGUUCUUCCUGGUAAUCUUCUAGCAAUCCGUGACCAUCUGCAUGCGAUUAGAAGGUAAACUCAACAACCGAUCAGCAUAUCUUUGUUUUUAAGAUUAAAUAACAAGUUGCUCUACUUAGAGACUUCAAUUAUAGUAUUCUACUGUAGAAUACUGAAGAACAUACCUGUUUCCCCAUUGAGAAUGAAGUUCGAGGACAAGUUUCUCUUCAUGAGGUGUCAUCUUUCCUCUUUUGAGCCCUGGAUGCAGGUAAUUAACCCAUCGUAAGCGGCAGCUCUUACCUGUUCUUUUUAAACCUACAAGAAAACUUUGGUUAAAAUGGAUGCUCCUUGUUAAAGUUCCCCAUUCUUCAAACAAGCAUACCUAGCAUUUUUCUCCCGCCACCUUCAAACCUGAAACUUUAGCUAUGAAAUCCCAUCGCCGGUCCCCAAAUAAUCCCACAAAGCAGACCAGUUGAAGGUCUUCUUGUUCUGUCCAUGGACCUUUUCGAAUUUCUUCUUGUUUCAUUAUGGCUUUUUACUUUUUCUUGCUUCAACUUCUUCUAAGAUAGAUUUUACCUAUUUUUGGUCUUGUGGAUACAUGGAGAAGCCUGCUGCAAACUCCUAAUAUUUAUAUCAAACAAUUUACAAUAUUUUAAACCUAUGAGAUAAUCUUGAUAUAUAUUAUUAAAAAAUGAUAAAUUUAAUCAACACCUUACAUGUGUUCCCCACACUUUUGUCUUCUGAUAGGCAACUUAUGCAUAUGAUGUAAGCCACUAAAAUUAAUUAAUAUCUAGAAGAAUUGAUAUGGUGCUCUUAAGGUUCAUUUUAAGUUACAGUGUAAGGUUCAUUUUAAAGAACUGGUUACUAAGUCAUAAUUUUACAUAAUAUCCCGCUUUUGACGUGUUUCCUGUACACCUUUCUGUGCCUUCUCUUGGAUUUCUUCUUCUUUCUUGUUUUCUUGUUUUUGUUUUUCUUUUUUGGUUUGAGAACAAAUUUUUAAUAUAUAUUUUUUUAUUUUUCUUUGAAGAGGGGAUGCAAUGGCUGGGUCCAUGUCAGUUUUAUCUCUAGAUAAUGAUAAAUCCAAAGAUUUAGAUUGAUAGUCAUUCUUUAUACGAGCAAAGGCAUUGUCUCUCAAAUUACACAUUAAAUGUAGUAUAAAAUAGAAUUCUGAAUUUGAAGAAAUUGCAGUGCAGGAAAUCUCUCUUGGUGUCUGUCAAUUGGUUAAGGUGUUUUCUUUUUGGUUGAAGUUGAUAAUUAGCACCCUUUACAUCCAAAUUGUGAUGUGUCGGUGGCAUGCCUUGACUUUAAUGGAAGCCACCAAUAUGAACCUAGGACCAAAGGAAAAGAAGAUAAAACAAGUUAAAAAGAAAAGCAAUCAGAUAGAAGCUCUCUGUGUGAUUAUUCUGUCUUUUCAGUAGAUUUUUCUUUCUUUCGAGAAAAUAAAAACCCUUUCUACCUUGAAAAAAUAUUUGAUGGGCAUGCACAGCUAUUUAUUAGAAGCUUCAAAAAUAUUGUUAUUGGCAAGCUAUGUAGCCUAUACGGUGAUAGCUUAAUGUGCAUGGAUGCCUAUAAUGUUCUGUUUGUUACACUGAUAAUUCGUCUGAAUUUGUUUGGAGAUGGUUAAUUCUGAGUUAUCUGAUCUUUUUGUUAUAACUGAAGUACCUUUGCUUCCCUGGUUGAAUUAAUUUCUAUUGGUGAUGAUACAUAGCAUCUGAAUGUCAGAUUGUGCAAUAGAGAAAAGUGCCGUUAGUAUUGUAACCACCACAAAGGCAAAACCUUGAUAUUUAAUUAUACAUUUGUUGAUAUCAAGAUUUCAAAUUAUUAGGAAUGGACCACUUGCUUUGCGCAAAAGUUUAAUUGCGGGGGCAUAAGCCAUAAGGACGGUUAUCCGCAGAUUUGUAAAUUCGACUCUUCUGCAACAGUAGAGCCAACGAUGAAGCCAGUCAAAAAACUAAGACGGUAAUUAGACUGUGGGAAAGAGUGAUGCACAAGUAUGCGGGAACUAUAGAGGGAUCAAACCAAACUUCUAAGCCACACUAUGAAACUGUGGGAAAGAGUGAUUGAGAAAAGAAUUAGACGAGAGACGGUAAUUAGAGAGAAUCAAUUUGGAUUCAUGUCGGGAAGAUCAACCACCAAGGCAAUUCAUCUUUUGAGGAGAUUGAUGGAAAAGUAUAGCGAGCAAAAGAAGGAAUUGCAUCUGGUGUUCAUUGACCUAGAGAAAGCGUACGAUAGCAUACCACAAAGCAUCGUUUGGGAUAGCCUCAAGAAUAGAGGUAUUUCAUGAAGGUACAUUGAGGUAAUACAGGACAUGUAUGACAGAGUGUCAACUAACAUACAUACAUAGGUGGGUAUGACUAACUCUUUUCCAAUUAAAGUGGGACUACAUUAGAGAUCAACACUAAGUCUUUUCAUUGUUAUGGUCAUUAUGGAGGAAAUCUCUAAAUCCAUCUGGGACACCGUACCAUAGUGCAUGUUUUUCGUUGAUGAUAUAUUUUUGGUUGCAGAAACAAAGGAGGAGGCUAAUAGUAAAUUGGAAGAGUGGAGGAAAGCCUUGGAGGGGUAAGGGAUUGUGCAUAAGCCGUAUGAAGACAUAAUAUUUGCGAUGCAAUUUCAGUGGGACAGAAUCGAUAGGGGAGCCAAAGGUGACCAUAGGAGGAGAAGUUAUUGCAUGUACGUCCAAGUUCAAAUAUUUGGAUUGGUGAUUCAGAGUAAUGAGGAGAUUGAUGGAGACGUUACUAAUCGUAUACAAGCGAGUUGACUUAAGUGGCGAGCAGCAACAGGGGUGCUUUGUGAUAAAAAGUUCCCGAGGAGAUUAAAAGGUAAAUUUUACCGCAUUGCAAUUAGGCCGGCAUUGUUGUAUGGGACGGAAUGUUGGCCCGCAAAGAAGGUUUUUGAACAAAGGAUUUAAGCAACAAAAAUGCUUAUGCUGAAGUGGAUGUGUGAUAAUACUAUGAUGGAUAGGAUAAGAAACUAAGUUUAGAGAGAAGUUAGGGGUUGCACCUCUCUCCGCAAAGAUGCGGGAGAACAGGUUGAGAUGGUUUGGGCAUGUGCAGAGAAAAACACAUGACGCCCCAAUAAGAAGGAUCAAAUGCAUCAUAGGGAAGGCCAAGAGAAGUCGAGGAAGACCUAGAAGAAGUGGGAGGAACAUAUUAAAAGUGACAUGCAUGAACUUUACCUCUCCAAGGACCUGACCAAGGACAGGGGUAGUUGGCGGCGCCUUAUCCACGUCUUAGAUUACUAAACUCGUUCGUUUUGCCCAUCGUUUGUUAUUAUUCAUUUCCUUUAAUUAUCGCUCUUUACCUUCUUCUUUACUUUUAUCCUUAUUCUUAGUUAUUUGUAAGUAUUAUAUUUAUUAUAUUUGUAAGUUGCAGGUUUCUCUCUCUUUGAAGACCUUUCUUGAGCCGAAGGACUUUUUGACCGCACUCUCCUCUAUGAGUAUGAGCUGCCGUCUUUUUUCCCUCUCUAGAACCUGACCAUAGUUUUCUAUAAGCGGGAUACACUGGAUAUGGUGAUGAUGACUGGGAUACAUUACUUUUGAUUUAUGAUAAUUAAUAAUCGAUUUAUAAUUGACAAAAGCAAGUAACGAAAUCAUAACACGUUUUACUCAAUCUGACAAGCUUAUUUCGAUUAAACUUAAAAGAACAAAAUUAUAAGUGGGUUGUAUUGAGUUGGAGCGGGCCAAAAUGGUCAAAUCGGCCCUCAUCUGCCCAUCGCAUAGGUUUUGAUGAUGAGAAAGGGAAAUGGAUUUGUAUAUCAAGUUCCCAAGGAAAAAAAUGGGUGGUUUUGAGAUGAUUAAUCACAAGAUAUUAUUGGGUUUCUGUUGCCUGUUUAAGUUUUUUUUUUUUUUCUUAGAUAUAAUACCCCUAUCACUUAGGACUUAGGAGUCAUUAAUUUCAAUGUUUGAUGGAGCUAAAUAUUUUAAGAUUCCAGUAUAGUGGACCAUGGUAAAAUGUAAAAUCAUUUGUGGUUGUAAUUUUUUCAAUAUAAAAAUAAAAUUUUUUGACAAUUUUAAUGAUUAUUCUUGUUUUCUUCAUAAGAUUUAUUUCAAUAUAUUACCAUUUAAAAAGUUAGUAUUAAAUUAAAAUGAAAAAUAAAAAAAAAAAACUUUUUUAUGAUUACAGUUUCAUAGGGUAAUAACAUAAUAUAUGUUAUUUAAAUUUACACUACAAAUCAUUUUUAUUACUAUUUUUAGUCCCAACAACUAAACACAAUGUUAAAUUAAGAAAUCGAAGUCUUUGAAUUAUGCUUUGAGCUCCAGGAUGUUGUGCCUAACACUAAAAUACAACCUCACUCUGAUUAAUGAUCACUAUAACCAUGUGUAAGCACAUAUCUAGUUAAUUAGCCUUUUAUAAUGAUUUGGUUGUGGACUUGUGUGAUUCAGAGGUUGAAUCAUGUUCACAAUUAAACCCCUCAAAUGUACAUUUUGGCUAAUAUUUUAAUCGUUUCCCCACUCUAAUAUACACUUCUAAGCAAAGAUUAAUUACUGUAUGAUAAUUGAUUACCUAGUAUGAUUAAAGCGCUAGUUGCGGGUUUAGUGGAGUAUAUCUGAUUCCAAAAUCCUAAUUACUAAGAGUGGAAGUUGAUGCUUUGAUUUUUGUAAUCCCCAAUGUGUGAAAGUUUUGUUUUGAUACAAACAAACCUGUUAAUUUUUUGUCCCAUGACAUAUUGACCCUAAAUCCGACCGAAAAUUAGUCAUUAUAACCCUAAAAUUUUAAACCUUAACUCAAUUUUAGACCUAUUCCAAAAAAAUUUGGAUACCUAACCGCUUUGACUCUUUUUUUUCUCGCAACUAAGUUACUAGAAGAAAACGGUUCAACUCAGGGGAAGAACCCCAAGCAAACGCUAUACAAAUCAAAAUUUCCAACUUAGAAUAUUUACAUCAGUAUGAAAGAGUAACCCACCUUCUAGGAUGGGAUGCUACUACUCACUUUUUAUGCAAUGAGAAGGAAUACAAGAUAGCUCAAAUAAACAAAGACAGUCCUAUACACCAAAUUACCCAACUAGAUAGUCGGGUACAUUGAUCUAACUUGUUCUGAACUUCUAGCAGCAAUGCAAAAAAGGAGGUGACUAGCAGCUUGUUUUGGCUCAGCACACCUUCCUUGAUUCACUUUUUGGCGUCGUUGAAUCCAGAUUUCAAAUGCUAAUUCGGUCCAAGCACAAGUAUGUUCAACAUCUAUGAGACUUUUCUUUUUAUUAAUAGAUACAACUCUCCUAACUUCAUCAAUUAAAGGGGCUAGUUUUUCUUGGUUGAAUCUGACCAGAACCUCUUGUCUGAAUCUGACCUGAACCUCUUGUCUGAUACAUGAUGUUUAUGCACAUUUAAGGAAUAGAUGAUCAGCACUUUCAGGUCAGGUUGUGUGUUGCAUAGAGGACAAGAUGGAUCGACAGAGAGACCCCAUGUUGCAAUUCUAUCUCUGGUGGUUAAGCUACCAUGAGCGAUUUGCCAAGCAAAGAAAACUCUAAGGUGAGACCUUAGUUUUGCAUGAAAACCUUUCCAAGAAACAUUAGGUAUAUCUCCGAUUAGUAUGUUGUAAACUUUCCUAAUCCGUAAAGUGUUAUCAAACAAACUAAACUUCCCAUAUCAGUGAAAAAGCCUUUGAUUGACAAUUUUCCUGAGCAACCAAGAUGGGCAAGGGACAUUUUCUGUCAAGAAACCAACUCAAUUAAAAGUGUUGAUGGUUGAGGCCCCAGGAUAUAUUCUAUACUCUAACAUGCCCCUCACACGAGAGCCCAUUAGGCUAGAAGUGUGGAUGCGCAUAAGCGUUGAGUAUUCGACUUUAAAUGAGAGGUGGUUGAGAUUCGAACUCGUAACCUUUUGUCACGUUGGCUUCUGAUACCAUGUUAAGAAACCAACUCAACCAAAAACUUAAGUUGAUGGUUGAGGCCCCAAGAUAUAUUGUAUACUCUUAACUCUUUCAUAUCUAGAACAUUAUGAGAUAUUACAUAGUAGGCAUGUACCCAUUUGAUCCACAAGCUAUCCUUUUUGAAGCUAUAAACUAGAGGUGUUUGCAUAAUGCAAGCUUUGUUCCAUAGAACAAAGUUUUUGAGAUUAAGACCACCCUUAGCUAUAGGGAACUUGCAGUUGAUCCCUUCCUUACUAGUCCACAAGAAGGAUCGAUAAUGAGCUACAACUUGCUUUAUCAACUAUUUGGGAAUAAGAAAGAUUUGCGCCCAAAAAGCCUUCAUGCCAAUCAAAACACUACUAAUUAAUUGGAUUCUACCAGCAUAUGACAAAGACCUUGAAGAUAUCGAGUUUCUUGGAGCUCAAAGGAACUCUUAAAGUACUUUUAAGUGAAGAUUUUCCCUGGGCAUGUUCAAGAAUUUAAGAAUACCAUCUAGUGUAAGUUGAUGAACACCAGAAGAAUGUAAUGCACAUUUUUCAUUACUAGUUGGUGGAAGCGCUCCCCCAAGAAAUUCUACUAAUUAAAAUCGUAAUUUGAAGCGAAUUAAUUGAUCUUAAUUGUAAUGUGUGUAUUGUAAUAUUUUAGUUGUAUUAGUUUAAUUGUUUAGCUAAGAGGUGAUAUAAAAUAAAACAUAGUAGCAAUGGACUGCAAUGUAUAUAUGCUUUAUGCAAGUCAAAUUGAUUUUAUGAAUAGGUAUUGCUUAGCUUGCUUAAAUAUGCAUAUGAAUGUAUAGCCUAUGGAUGGCAAACGGAUAAAAUAUACGAGUUUUGCACUGUAUUUGUUCUAAUUGGGACGCAUAUGAGUAUGAUUUCAGUGGGUAAAAGAUGGGUAUAAGUAUGAAAAGGCCUACCCGCUAUGGAUAUUGGGUAGGUGGUGGACUGGUGGAUAUGAGGUCUUACUCGCCCCAUAUCCACCUGUCAAGCCCCAUACCCGCCUACCCCAUCCAACAUCCACCUACCUCGCGUCCCAUAGUCGUCCUUCCUAUCCUACAACGUAUUAAAUUAAUUUUGUAUAAUUUAUAUUAUAAAUUAUUAACAAAAAAUAAAGAAUAUUAAUUUUAUUUUAUUACUUUGUUUGGUUUGAACAAAAUAGAUAUAUAAUUAAAUUUGUAAGGAUUUAUAAAGUGUAUAACGUGAAUUUGGAAUGAAUGUGAAGUGGGUAUAAAGGCGGGUAUAUCUCGUUGGUCAUAGUGAGUCGGGAUGAGUUUGAAUGCAUACUCAUGCAAGCAGACGAGGGUAUGAAAAUUUUGGUCUGAUAUGGGUGUUAGGGAGGUGGUAAGUAUGGAGAGGAAGAAGCCAUGAGCUAGAUUUGAAUGCAUACGAUCUGUCAACAUGCUCUCGAGGUCGAAAGAAAAAAAGCCUUUGUCAAAUGUCUAACUAGGGAAAUGUGUUGCACUAUCAGGCAUCAGCACCAGCAAUGAUUACUUGAUAUCUUUUUCCCAAGCCGACUAAGCAUACAAUAACGUCAUUCCUUGAGUUCUAUGUAUAGAAAAUCAACUUAUUAUUUGUAUUUUUAAUGUCAGCUUUUGAGAUUUUUUUUCCAACACUCAACUCAACGCCUUUGUUAAAAGAAAUUCAACAAACAUAAGUUGACAUCAAUGUUGUGUAUUUCAUCCCAUUAUUUAAGAAAUUUCUUGGAAAAUAAAAAAUUUUUAUAAGAUUAUAUGUUGAUUUCAAACACAAGUUGACAUUAAGGUUCCUCAAUCGUUAAUUUAAACUUUUGAUUGGAUUCGUCUUUUUUGAUAUGAUAGGUGGUACCCUUAAAGGGCAUUGGGCUAAUUAAUUAAAUAUAUUGUCUCUAUUGAAAAAAAGUUUUGAUAAACCUACUCUAAUCAAAUUUUCCAAUGCAACUAAUUUGAGAUUUGAUAUCUCUGAUGAAACUUAAUCAAAAAUUAUAAAAUUUAAUGUUAAUAAAAUUUACAUAAAAACGAAUC